rnacentral:rRNA from 1 species
CCUACGGGAGGCAGCAGUAGGGAAUAUUGCUCAAUGGGGGAAACCCUGAAGCAGCAACGCCGCGUGGAGGAUGAAGGUUUUCGGAUUGUAAACUCCUUUUGUUAGAGAAGAUAAUGACGGUAUCUAACGAAUAAGCACCGGCUAACUCCGUGCCAGCAGCCGCGGUAAUACGGAGGGUGCAAGCGUUACUCGGAAUCACUGGGCGUAAAGAGCGCGUAGGCGGGAUAGCAAGUCAGCUGUGAAAUCCUAGGGCUUAACCCUAGAACUGCAUUUGAAACUGUUAUUCUAGAGUAUGGGAGAGGGAGGUGGAAUUCUUGGUGGAGAGGUGAAAUCCGUAGAGAUUAAGAGGAAUACUGGUGGCGAAGGCGACCUGCUAGAACAUAACUGACGCUGAGGCGCGAAAGCGUGGGGAGCAAACAGGAUUAGAUACCCUUGUAGUC